UACGGAGGAGGCAAGCGUUAUCCGGAAUUAUUGGGCGUAAAGCGUCCGUAGAUGGUUUUGUCAGUCUGCUGUCAAAGCACAGGGCUUAACCCUGUAAAGGCAGUGGAAACUACAAGACUAGAGUGCAGUAGGGGCAGAGGGAAUUCCCAGUGUAGCGGUGAAAUGCGUAGAGAUUGGGAAGAACACCAAUGGCGAAGGCAGUUAGCUAGGCUGAUUCAGACACUGAGAUGUGAAAGCGUGGGGAGCGAACGGG
rnacentral:rRNA from 1 species